UGCAAGCGUUAUUCGGAUUCACUGGGCGUAAAGGGUGCGCAGGCGGUUGGGUGUGUCAGAUGUGAAAUCCCGAGGCUUAACCUCGGAACUGCGUCUGAAACUACUCGACUAGAGUACUGGAGAGGGAAACGGAAUUCACGGUGUAGCAGUGAAAUGCGUAGAUAUCGUGAGGAACACCAGAGGCGAAGGCGGUUUCCUGGACAGUUACUGACGCUCAGGCACGAAAGCAUGGGGAGCAAAAGGG
rnacentral:rRNA from 1 species